rnacentral:rRNA from 1 species
GAUGAACGCUGGCGGCAUGCCUAAGACAUGCAAGUCGAACGAGGAGACCUUUGGAAGAUGGAGUGCUUGCACAAAGUUAGAAGAAGAUUAUCUCCUAGUGGCAGACGGGUGAGUAACACGUGGGUAACCUACCUUUAAGCUGGGGAUAACAGUUGGAAACGAUUGCUAAUACCGAAUGUGAUCUACGGAUUAAAGAAGCCUUUAAAGCUUCGCUUGAAGAUGGGCCUGCGGUGCAUUAGCUAGUUGGUGAGGUAACGGCCCACCAAGGCGACGAUGCAUAGCCGAACUGAGAGGUUAAUCGGCCACAUUGGGACUGAGACACGGCCCAUACUCCUACGGGAGGCAGCAGUAGGGAAUAUUGGGCAAUGGGGGAAACCCUGACCCAGGCAACGCCGCGUGAAGGAA